ACUCAGUAGGUGAGUGGAUAAGGCGACGGCCUGCGAAGCGAAUGGUACUGGGUUCGAGUCCCAUAGUCA
rnacentral:tRNA from 1 species